GGAUUUUGGGUUAGGGUGUCCGGUCCGCCGUUUCGGUGUGCACUGGGCGCUCUUUCCUUUCUGCCGGGGACCGUUGGGUGUCUUAAUUGCCAUCCCUCGGGAGUCGGCGUUGUUACUUUGAAAAAAUUAGAGUGUUCAAAGCAAGCCAUCGCUCUGAAUACAUUAGCAUGGAAUAACAUGAUAGGACUCCGCUCUUAUUUUGUUGGUUUCCGAGACUGGAGUAAUGAUUAAGAGGGACAGUCGGGGGCAUCCGUAUUUCAUUGUCAGAGGUGAAAUUCUUGGAUUUAUGAAAGACGAACUUCUGCGAAAGCAUUUGCCAAGGAUGUUUUCAUUAAUCAAGAACGAAAGUUGGGGGCUCGAAGAUGAUCAGAUACCAUCCUAGUCUCAACCAUAAACGAUGCCGACUAGGGAUUGGCGGAUGUUCCUUAGAUGACUCCGCCAGCACCUUAUGAGAAAUCAUUAAGUUUUUGGGUUCCGGGGGGAGUAUGGUCGCAAGGCUGAAACUUAAAGGAAUUGACGGAAGGGCACCACCAGGCGUUGUUUGCUACAAGCUCUAAGCGCCAGUCAGCGAU
rnacentral:rRNA from 1 species